UACGAAGGGGGCUAGCGUUGCUCGGAAUUACUGGGCGUAAAGGGCGCGUAGGCGGAUAUUUAAGUUAGAGGUGAAAGCCCAGGGCUCAACCCUGGAAUAGCCUUUAAUACUGGAUAUCUUGAGUUCGGGAGAGGUGAGUGGAACUCCGAGUGUAGAGGUGAAAUUCGUAGAUAUUCGGAAGAACACCAGUGGCGAAGGCGACUCACUGGCCCGAUACUGACGCUGAGGCGCGAAAGCGUGGGAGCAACAGG
rnacentral:rRNA from 1 species